rnacentral:rRNA from 1 species
ACGGGAGGCAGCAGUGGGGAAUAUUGGGCAAUGGGCGAAAGCCUGACCCAGCAACGCCGCGUGAAGGAAGAAGGCCUUCGGGUUGUAAACUUCUUUUGUCAGGGACGAAGGAUGUGACGGUACCUGACGAAUAAGCAACGGCUAAAUACGUGCCAGCAGCCGCGGUAAUACGUAUGGUGCAAGCGUUAUCCGGAUUUACUGGGUGUAAAGGGAGCGUAGACGGCAUGGCAAGCCAGAUGUGAAAGGCAGGGGCUCAACUCCUGGACUGCAUUUGGAACUGUCAAGCUAGAGUAUCGGAGAGGUAAGUGGAAUUCCUAGUGUAGCGGUGAAAUGCGUAGAUAUUAGGAGGAACACCAGUGGCGAAGGCGGCUUGCUGGACGAUAACUGACGUUGAGGCUCGAAAGCGUGGGGAGCAAACAGGAUUAGAUACCCUGGUA